CAGCUGCUGUUAUUGAUGAAGCUUUUGAUCUUUGAAUUUUCGAGGGGAAAGUACACUAUGUGAAAGUCGAAAAAAACCAUGAGGCUUCCUGGAAGUGCCUGUUUUUCAUAGAGAAAUGGAAAACCAAAAAUAUCUUUGAGC
ensembl:ncRNA K08B12.12 ncRNA